rnacentral:lncRNA from 1 species
CUCGGGUGCCGAAAUGCACCCGUUUUGCAUCGUUUUUCGUGCCGGAACCGAAUGCUCAAAAACACUCCCAAACAUGUUCUAGGGUCUAAUUAGGAAGAUUGCCUACGUUCAUUGCGAAAAAAUCCAUCCGAUUUUCGCUACCCAGAAAUAGUGCAUUCGGGUGCCGAAAUGCACCCGUUUUGCAUCAUUUUUCAUGACGGAUCGAAUGCUCAAAAAUACUCCCAAACAUGUUCUAGUGUAUAAUUAGGAAGAUUGCAUGCGUUCGUUGCGAAAAAAUCCACCCGAGUCUCGCUACCCGGAAAUAGUGCAUUCGGGUGCCGAAAUGCACCCGUUUUGCAUUGUUUUUCAUGCCGGAACCGAAUGCUCAAAAACACUCCCAAACAUGUUCUAGGGUCUAAUUAGGAAGAUUGCAUA